AUUGAACGCUGGCGGCAGGCCUAACACAUGCAAGUCGAGCGGCAGCACAGAGAAACUUGUUUCUCGGGUGGCGAGCGGCGGACGGGUGAGUAAUGCCUGGGAAAUUGCCCUGAUGUGGGGGAUAACCAUUGGAAACGAUGGCUAAUACCGCAUGAUAGCUUCGGCUCAAAGAGGGGGACCUUCGGGCCUCUCGCGUCAGGAUAUGCCCAGGUGGGAUUAGCUAGUUGGUGAGGUAAGGGCUCACCAAGGCGACGAUCCCUAGCUGGUCUGAGAGGAUGAUCAGCCACACUGGAACUGAGACACGGUCCAGACUCCUACGGGAGGCAGCAGUGGGGAAUAUUGCACAAUGGGCGCAAGCCUGAUGCAGCCAUGCCGCGUGUGUGAAGAAGGCCUUCGGGUUGUAAARCACUUUCAGUCGUGAGGAAGGUGGUAGUGUUAAUAGCACUG
rnacentral:rRNA from 1 species